rnacentral:rRNA from 1 species
UACGGAGGAUGCAAGCGUUAUCCGGAAUGAUUGGGCGUAAAGCGUCCGCAGGUGGCUAUGUAAGUCUGCUGUUAAAGAGUGAGGCUUAACCUCAUAAGAGCAGUGGAAACUACAUGGCUAGAGUGCGUUCGGGGCAGAGGGAAUUCCUGGUGUAGCGGUGAAAUGCGUAGAUAUCAGGAAGAACACCGGUGGCGAAAGCGCUCUGCUAGGCCGCAACUGACACUGAGGGACGAAAGCUAGGGGAGCGAAUGGG